UGACAUAUAAAGAACAUCUACCAGCCUGCCUCAGUUGGUAGGUGCUCAACACACAUUUCAUACCUCCCCUCGCUUCCAACCGGGUUUCCCACUCCUAAGAGCUCCUCGCUAUGACCGACCUAGUGACCUCUGCCCAUUGGAGUUCCUGGUGCUCAGAUCCUGCCAUCCAUGUCCCUCACAGCCAUUUCCCUGCCUCUAACUCACUUUAUGGAGGAUCUAAACUGCUCUGUUCAUGAGCCAAGCUUGACAGGGGAGGAAAUUAUCAGCACCUCUGCCACUCAGUCCGCAGUUUGGGUCUGGAAUCGAGUCUCCUAUUGUUGAAGGCCUUUGACGCUCAUCCUGACUCCUGAUCGAUGAAUUAUUUGGUCGACUGAGGCAGAAUCACCUUUACUGGAGCAUAAUCUGUUGGAGGCGGCAUCUCCUGAAGUCUCCAUGAGUUGCUGGAAGGAAGGUAUGAACAAAAUGGUGGGUGAAGAAGCUAAGACUGGGGAUGCUGCUGGCAGGAUAGAGUGCCUCAGGGCUGGGCAGGCUCAGGUUGAAGUCAGCAGCACUAAUAUCUCCUAGAGGGGUUUAAUACUCUGAGGAAGGGCAGGCACUCAGAGGGGCCGAGGGUGUGAAAACACCUGGUAUCCAAUGGGGAGGAGCAAGGAGCUGUGCAAUGGGACCAGGUGUGGCAGGUGCUUUGAGGAGGGCUGAGGUUGGGCAGGUUAGGCCUUGACAGCCUGGGAGGCUUCUGCAGGGGUGCCUAGCUCUUUUUGUACUCCUUCUCCACCAAUCUGGCUCUCACUGUCUAGAUGUAAUAACGAGGGAGGUCUUGCAUGGCUAUACUGUGUGCCCGGCAUUGCACUUCCCAUGAACUGCAGCUGUUAGGCAGCUGGGCCCAUGUGGGCCAGUCUCAAAGGGCUGCAUUUAAAGAAGCAUAGCACAAGCAGGAAUUCUCAUCUUUCUUUGAGACUCUUGCUAAC
rnacentral:lncRNA from 1 species